rnacentral:rRNA from 1 species
UGGGGAAUAUUGCACAAUGGGCGAAAGCCUGAUGCAGCAACGCCGCGUGAGGGACGACGGCCUUCGGGUUGUAAACCUCUUUUAGCAAGGAAGAAGCGAAAGUGACGGUACUUGCAGAAAAAGCGCCGGCUAACUACGUGCCAGCAGCCGCGGUAAUACGUAGGGCGCAAGCGUUAUCCGGAAUUAUUGGGCGUAAAGAGCUCGUAGGCGGUUUGUCGCGUCUGCUGUGAAAACCCGAGGCUCAACCUCGGGCCUGCAGUGGGUACGGGCAGACUAGAGUGCGGUAGGGGAGAUUGGAACUCCUGGUGUAGCGGUGGAAUGCGCAGAUAUCAGGAAGAACACCGAUGGCGAAGGCAGAUCUCUGGGCCGUAACUGACGCUGAGGAGCGAAAGGGUGGGGAGCAAAACAGGCUUAGAUACCCUGGUAGUCCACCCCGUAAACGUUGGGAACUAGUUGUGGGGUCCAUUCCACGGAUUCCGUGACGCAGCUAACGCAUUAAGUUCCCCGCCUGGGGAGUACGGCCGCAAGGCUAAAACUCAAAUG